rnacentral:lncRNA from 1 species
UAUUUUAUAAUUAAUUUUAAAAACACACGUUCGGCCCGUCUAGCCCGAGCCCCCCCCCCCCCCCCCCCCAAAUUUAAACAGACUUUUAAAGAACUAGAAGUUUAUUUGAAUGAUAAACCUUUCGUACCUUAGCUCUCUUUCCUACGUGGGACAAGUGCAUUUUUCUUUGUUUUUCCAAUUUCAUGAUUGUGUUUUGAGUAACAAUUUCUCCCGUUUUUACUUAGUUUUCUAUCUUUACUUUUUAUAUUCUCUAGAAUUCACUCGAAUAUAAUUUUGAACAUAUAAUAUACUAUUCUCAAGUACUGACGAAAGAGUAUUUAAAUCACCUAAAUAUUUCACUUACACCAAGUGGAUCCCAAUUAAAAUCAUAUCUUAAAAUAACCACUUGUGUUCUAUUUUUCCAACAAUAGGUAGCAACUACUAGGCUAACUAAUGGUUUGCUUGUUUGAAACUUCUAAGUAAUGUAUGUAGAAUAGAUUAAUUUCAGCUUACUUCUCUUAUAAAUUGACAAUCUUUAAAUUGUCUCCUUUAUUUUUAAAAACAUCCUAAAAGUUGUUAACUUUAACGAUCGGUUGUCAUUGCUUUGUUAAAGUGCAAAAAUAUUACUCUUUAACAGUUUGUUAACUAACAAUUUUUAACCAAAAAAAUUACUAGUUGAAUUAAUAAAAUAAUAAUAUGAAAAUGGUAUAGUCCUUAAAAGUAAAAAAAUAAAAAAAUAAAGUUGCCUUAACCAUGCGGCCAUGGAUCUGGUUGCCAUGGUUGCACGCGACCUUUGUGAUUAGUUUCCACGGCCACCGAACCCUUGGCCACGAGGGGCUGUGGUUGGUUUCCAUGGCCACGUACGGGUACGGUCAAGGGUUUGGCUGCUUUAGUCGCACGCCACGCAGCCAUGGGUGCAAAAAUAAUAAUAAUAAUAAUAAUAAAUUAAGUAUUAGGU